GACACUUUGCACGUGACGUCACUCUCUUCGAAACUCGGCCCGCUCCGCCAUGACGGACGUCAAAACAACCUAUGCGCACCUGUAAAGUUUGUCGAAAAACGCACAUGUGGUGGCCUGGUAUCGCUUUUAUUAAGUUGAUUUCGCAGUAAAACGUGGUCACAGGGUACUACGCGGUCGGCCGCACAAACAGGCAAGGAUACAAACCAAACUUGUCAUUUUAUUGUGUAACUUUUGAGGAGCGAUGGAUAGCAGCCGUCAACCAUAAUGACUGGCUACUCGGUGUAACCGCAGAUUUGCAGCGAACACUUUACAAGGAGUUUUUUCACCUGAUUCAUCUGAGAGUCAUUUCUGUGGAGUUAUUAGACUGCUGAGCAGACAAAUCCUCCAAGAAAGCCAAGUGGCCGAUUCAUCUCCUGUGUGAUGAGUUCCUUGUGCAGAAUAUAACGUUUUCUUGCUCCAGCAUCCUCAGAGUGUGACUGUCAGCAGCUAGCCUCAGGUCCAACAUGCCACAGCAGUGGGUUCUGGGUUUUUACCUUCUUAUUGUCCAACCGGAGCGUUGCCACAUGCAGGGAAGGCAACCUCACAUGUGUUCACCCAUUGUGUCCAGAUAUAAGUGGACACAAUGGAGAUGGAGCUCUUUUUGAGAAAAUGUUGGUUCUCUCAAGCAGGAAAUCAGGUGGGACUCAUGGCACACCUCCUGGAUAGACUCUUUCAUAAAUUUUGAAUAUACAGCUAUUAAAUAUUCAUUUAUUUAUCAAGA